rnacentral:rRNA from 1 species
UACGUAGGGGGCAAGCGUUGUCCGGAAUUAUUGGGCGUAAAGGGCUCGUAGGCGGUUUGUCGCGUCGGGAGUGAAAUCCACUGGCUUAACUGGUGGCUUGCUUUCGAUACGGGCAGACUGGAGGUAUGCAGGGGAGAACGGAAUUCCUGGUGUAGCGGUGAAAUGCGCAGAUAUCAGGAGGAACACCGGUGGCGAAGGCGGUUCUCUGGGCAUGUCCUGACGCUGAGGAGCGAAAGCGUGGGGAGCGAACAGG